GUGAGGAAUAUUGGUCAAUGGACGAGAGUCUGAACCAGCCAAGUCGCGUGAAGGAAGACGGUUCUAUGAAUUGUAAACUUCUUUUGUGCAGGAAUAAAGUGGGUUACGUGUAACCUUUUGUAUGUACUGUACGAAUAAGGAUCGGCUAACUCCGUGCCAGCAGCUGCGGUAAUACGGAGGAUCCGAGCGUUAUCCGGAUUUAUUGGGUUUAAAGGGUGCGUAGGUGGAUUGAUAAGUCAGCGGUGAAAGUUUGCAGCUUAACUGUAAAAUUGCCGUUGAAACUGUCGGUCUUGAGUGCAAAUGAGGUAGGCGGAAUGUGUUGUGUAGCGGUGAAAUGCUUAGAUAUAACACAGAACUCCGAUUGCGAAGGCAGCUUACUGGGAUGCAACUGACACUGAUGCACGAAAGCGUGGGUAUCAAACAGGAUUAGAUACCCUUGUAGUCC
rnacentral:rRNA from 1 species